rnacentral:hammerhead_ribozyme from 1 species
AUCCAGAUGAUGAGUCCCAAGUAGGACGAAAUGACGCGAGUUCUGGAU